CAAUCUAGAAAAUGCCGCUGCACGUCCACUGAUCGUCAUUUCGUAUGACGUCAUCUGCAUGCCACUUAAAGACUAUAUAACGAGAGGACGACAGCAGAUUUCAUCUCAUUUAUCUCAUUGAAGCGGACCGUACAAGUGUCACAGAUUUUUAUAAAGAUGAGACAUCUACUUGUUUUAUUGUUUAUCGUCAGUAUAAGUUGUGUGACGGUGGCUGAUGUGAAGAACGAUGGAGUCACAACUAAACCUGAUCACAUUGAUGAAGGUAACCUACCUGACUUGAGAAUCCCCUUUAUCCUGUCGGCAUCCAAAAUCCAGAUGUCGUACCACGGCGAAUCAACCACGAAGGCUUAAAAUACUAAGGUUUCACCAUAAUCUGUCUCUGUCAAAUAUUAAUUUAUUUAUUUAGUAGAAAAAACAUGCAUCAUUUUGCAGCUUAAGACAAUGCUAAAUUAAUUAUAAUGUUAUCGGCUUACUCACGUAAUUGUUUGACGAGGAACCCGACUAGUUUCAAGCCAUGCUAGAGGCCCAUAUUCAUGAGCAGCAUUCCGCGACACUAGUCGAAACAAGUGACAAUUACGUGAGUAAGCUGAUAACAUAAUAAUUAAUUAAGACAAUGAAUGCAUUAUAUAGUUAAAGUGAUAUAAAAUACUUGUAAUAAUGUAAUUUUCGAUUGGACAAAAAAAAUACAAUAAUUAUGUAGUGCCUUGUGCACGCUAGACACCUUACGAUUUAACUGUGCAGUUUUAACUGUACAGUUUAACUGUGUCGUAAGGCAUGUAGACAUUAGUCCGCUCUCACGAUACAUACCCACGGGAAGAGGAGGGGUGGUCCCAAAAAUGUGUACUACUCUACGUCGCCACACGUCUAGCUAGUUGGUAAGACCUAUAUUAAACAGUUUCUUGCUGAGUAUGUGCUAUGUAUGUACCUACAUAUAUGAAGUAUGUAAUGUAAAGAAGGUAUUUUAAUAAAGAAUUUUCCUUAAGCAAAA